rnacentral:lncRNA from 1 species
UGGCGGGUUCCCUGCUGUAAGAAUUUCUUUUACAAGUUAUUCAUAUCUCUGAUAGAUAAGUUUACUUAAUGAGUAUCAGCAAGAAAUAUUCUUUUCAAUUAUUCCCUUAAAAUUAUUUGAGUACUCACUUCAGAAGUUCCUAUUGCUGUCACCACAGAUUCCAAUUCGUGAAUGGCGUAAGCAAGUUGCUACUCACCGCCGGACGUUCAAGUAAGAACUACUUGUGAAACCGAUCAAAAAAAAACAAAAAACUACUUGUGAAAUAUAGAAAAUUUGUCUUUAUUUGAGCUACUAAAUCCAAGGACCUGCCAGAAAAAUAUUGCUUAGAACAACUUUCUGAUUGUCAGUGUCCUGUAUGUUAUUUUCCUUGUCCAAGGGCCAUUAAUUGAGCCUUUUACUUGCUUGUUUACAGAGAGUUCGCGGGAUCUAAGUAUUUUUAGCUCAAUCACUUGUUAUGAAUUUACUCAAGUUGACCAAAAACAAGAACCCAACAUACAGGGCUUGACCUUUUGUUUAUAUAUAUAUAUAUAUAUGUGUGUGUGUGUGUGUGUGUGUGUGUACAUGUAUAUACAUGAAUAAUCUCCUAAGUAUCGAUGACAUGGUAAAUCAUUUAAUUGGUGAAUCAUUAAAUAUAUGAGACCUACCAUUAACUUAUUCACCAAUUAAAUAGCGUGUUAUGUCACCGGUGCUCAGCUUAUAUUAAGUACCGAUGACAUGGUAUAUCAUUUAAUUGGUGAAUUUUUAAAUACAUGGGACUCUACCAUUAACUUAUUCAUCAAUUAAAUGACGUGUCAUGUCACGAACACUUAUAUAGCAUAAACACCAUCAAAGCCUAAGUGGAGUUUUUAGGCCUCCGCCUCCACCUCUACAGGGGGGUGGGAAGGUUGGAUUCUUUGACCCUGUUUUAUAGAUUCUGACUGGAGGGGGACAUGACUACCUUUGCUCAACCUUUAUUAUUGACCCACACAAAUAUGUGAAAUCGUUAUUCUUUUCUUAAUUGUUGAUAAUAAAUAUGAUUCUCCUUUGAAAACUUGGAUAUUUGAACGGGUGGUUCAAUUGUUUUUCUCCCUCUUGCGCACCAUUGACGGCCCCAUAUGGGCGGCCGCUGCCGCCGUGUUGCCUCGCUGCUACACCAAGUUGUACUAAAUCAUCAAAUUGUUUUUCAUUAAUUGAUGUACUACUGAUGUUUCUUUCGUUAGUGUUCUGGUGUGUCGGUAGUGGUGGUGCUGUGGCUCUUUAACAUUGUUGAAGCUGGGAGUGGUUGGGGAGAUUAGGG